rnacentral:rRNA from 1 species
AUGCAAGUCGGACGGGACUUUUCGUUGUAGCAAUACAGUGGAAAGUUCAGUGGCGAACGGGUGCGUAACACGUGGGCAAUUUGCCUUAAAGUGUGGGAUAGCUCGGCGAAAGCCGAAUUAAUACCGCAUGUGGCUACUGGAGACAUCUUCGGGACGCUAAAGGUGGCGCAAGCUACCGCUUUUUGAGAAGCCCGCGGCCUAUCAGCUUGUUGGUGAGGUAACGGCCCACCAAGGCGUUGACGGGUAGCUGGUCUGAGAGGACGACCAGCCACACUGGGACUGAGACACGGCCCAGACACCUACGGGUGGCAGCAGUCGAGAAUUUUUGACAAUGGGGGAAACCCUGAUCGAGCGACGCCGCGUGGAGGAUGAAGGUCUUCGGGUUGUAAACUCCUGUCAUUUGGGAACAAGGCGUAUUUAUUAACUGUAAGUACGUUGAUAGUACCAGAAGAGGAAGGGACGGCUAACUCUGUGCCAGCAGCCGCGGUAAUACAGAGGUCUCAAGCGUUGUUCGGAUUCAUUGGGCGUAAAGGGUGUGUAGGUGGCGCGCUAAGUCGGGUGUGAAAUUUCGGAGCUUAACUCCGAAACUGCAUUCGAUACUGGCGUGCUUGAGGACUGGAGAGGAGACUGGAAUUUACGGUGUAGCAGUGAA